GACGAACGCUGGCGGCGUGCUUAACACAUGCAAGUCGAACGGAAAGGCCCCCUUGUGGGGUACUCGGGUGGCGAACGGGUGAGUAACACGUGAGUAACCUACCCUUGACUUUGGGAUAACUUCAGGAAACUGGGGCUAAUACCGGAUAGGAGCUCCUGCUGCAUGGUGGGGGUUGGAAAGUUUCGGCGGUUGGGGAUGGACUCGCGGCUUAUCAGCUUGUUGGUGGGGUAGUGGCUCACCAAGGCUUUGACGGGUAGCCGGCCUGAGAGGGUGACCGGCCACAUUGGGACUGAGAUACGGCCCAGACUCCGACGGGAGGCAGCAGGGGGGAAUAUUGCACAAUGGGCGGAAGCCUGACGCAGCACCGCCGCGUGCGGGAUGACGGCCUUCGGGUUGUAAACCGCUUUCGCCUGUGACGAAGCGUGAGUGAGGGUAAUGUGUAAAGAAGCACGGGCUAACUACGUG
rnacentral:rRNA from 1 species